UUGGACGGGGCCCGCACAAGCGGUGGAGCAUGUUGGUUUAAUUCGAAGCAACGCGAAGAACCUUACCAGGUCUUGACAUCCCGAUGCUAUUUCUAGAGAUAGAAAGUUACUUCGGUACAUCGGUGACAGGUGGUGCAUGGUUGUCGUCAGCUCGUGUCGUGAGAUGUUGGGUUAAGUCCCGCAACGAGCGCAACCCCUAUUGUUAGUUGCCAUCAUUCAGUUGGGCACUCUAGCGAGACUGCCGGUAAUAAACCGGAGGAAGUGGGGAUGACGUCAAAUCAUCAUGCCCCUUAUGACCUGGGCUACACACGUGCUACAAUGGUUGGUACAACGAGUUGCGAGUCGGUGACGGCGAGCUAAUCUCUUAAAGCCAAUCUCAGUUCGGAUUGUAGGCUGCAACUCGCCUACAUGAAGUCGGAAUCGCUAGUAAUCGCGGAUCAGCACGCCGCGGUGAAUACGUUCCCGGGCCUU
rnacentral:rRNA from 1 species